GAAAGAUGUCUAAAGACCGGGCUCUCGGGAAGCAGCAGCAGCUGAAUAAUUUGGUAGCAGCAGUGACAAAGCUCGUGAAACCUGGAGAUUUGAUUGUGGAUUUUUGCAGUAGAGGGGGCCAUGUUGGAAUUGUUCUUGCUUAUAUGAUGCCAUCAUGUCAGGUGGCCCUGCACCCCUGCGGGGUGGCCACAGACAUGGUGAUUGAACACUGCCUCAGGGCACAGGCAGCCUUUGUCAUCUCCCUCUGCUGCUACGGCUUCAUCCAAAAUAGAGUCAAGUUCAACUAUCCACGAAGAUCCCCGUUGAGCACCUCUCCUGAUCUUCCCGGUCCAGAAAUAGAAGGUGAAAAAUACAAGGCAUAAAUGCUGUCAGAAGAAGACAAUGAACAUCGACCAACCUACACCCUGACUACGUGCAGCAAAGAUCACCUCAAAGCAAGGACUGACUCUGGUCAUUAGCCUAUGUGCGGCAAGUCAUCCACGCUGCUAAAGCCCUUAGAUCACCUCAAAGCAAGGACUUACUCUGGACAUUAGCAUUUGAAUAGGGAUCGAGGGACUCUUUCAGGGCUUAAUGUAAACACUCUUAAUUGCCGGUGCUUAACAGAAACAAUGGGGAGAGUACUGCCGAAGGGGAAAUAAAGCGUGUUUAAACUGAGUCCCUAAGCGGGCAAAUUUGUGUACCCUGCAAGAGACAGCAUACUGCCAGGCUCUGUGUGUCUUCGGGUCACCCUUGGCUAUUUUCCUGGGAAAACUCUGUCAAGUAGGUAUCGCUGUUUGUGGGGGUUUUUGCUACCUAAAAUUCUGUGAUUUGAUUCCUAUCCAAAUUUUGUGAUUUGAAUUUUUAAUAAACCAAAUUAUUGAAUUUGGAAAUAAAUUGUCCUGGCAUUUAUAACAAAAUUAAACCGCCAAAAUAUUCACAGGUAAUUGUGCAGUACAUCUAGUUCUGCCUCAGUAUCUGUUACGCUGUAACAGGUAAUUAGGAGGAAAGUAAAUGACAAAAGAAAUCCCAUGUAUUAAGUUUGAUUGGGGUGCUUACAUCUGUUCUUGAGUCAGUUAUUUAGUUGUUUGUGCAAAGUUAGUGACCUGGACAUCACGCUUGCACAUGUUCUCAAAUAGCAUCACUAAUUAUUUUAAAGAGUCAAAAAGGGAAUUGCAAAUAUUUUACAUAGCCCAUUGG